rnacentral:sRNA from 1 species
GCUGUAUUCAUCACCAAAGAAAAAACUUACACCAAUGCAGAAAUCGGUUAGUCCAUUAGUUUGGUGCAGGCAAGUUUUGGAUUACCCAAGUCCUGAUGUUGAGUGUGCUAAAAAAUCUCUUAUCCACAAACUUGAUCAAACUAUGUCAGCUCUCAAGAGGCAGAAUUUAUAUAAUAAUCCUUUCAACUCUAUGAGUUAUACAAGUCCUUACAGUCCAAAUGCCAGUAGCCCAUACAGCAGUGGCUUCAAUUCUCCAUCCUCAACCCCAGUGCGACCUCCUAUAGUCAAACAGCUUAUACUUCCUGGAAAUUCAGGUAACUUGAAAAUCUCAGACAGAAAUCCUCCACUC